AUUGAACGCUGGCGGCAUGCCUUACACAUGCAAGUCGAACGGCAGCACGGGUGCUUGCACCUGUGGCGAGUGGCGAACGGGUGAGUAAUACAUCGGAACGUACCUUAUCGUGGGGGAUAACGCAGCGAAAGCUGUGCUAAUACCGCAUACGCCCUGAGGGGGAAAGCGGGGGAUCGAAAGACCUCGCGAGACUAGAGCGGCCGAUGCCUGAUUAGCUUGUUGGUGGGGUAAAAGCCCACCAAGGCGACGAUCAGUAGCUGGUCUGAGAGGACGAUCAGCCACACUGGGACUGAGACACGGCCCAGACUCCUACGGGAGGCAGCAGUGGGGAAUUUUGGACAAUGGGGGCAACCCUGAUCCAGCAAUGCCGCGUGAGUGAAGAAGGCCUUCGGGUUGUAAGGCUCUUUUGUCAGGGAAGAAACACCGGCUCUAACACAGUCCGGGAAUGACGGUACCUGAAGAAUAAGCACCGGCUAACUACGUGCCAGCCGCCGCCGUAA
rnacentral:rRNA from 1 species